rnacentral:rRNA from 1 species
GAUGAACGCUGGCGGCGUGCCUAAUACAUGCAAGUCGAGCGAACGGACGAGAAGCUUGCUUCUCUGAUGUUAGCGGCGGACGGGUGAGUAACACGUGGAUAACCUACCUAUAAGACUGGGAUAACUUCGGGAAACCGGAGCUAAUACCGGAUAAUAUUUUGAACCGCAUGGUUCAAAAGUGAAAGACGGUCUUGCUGUCACUUAUAGAUGGAUCCGCGCUGCAUUAGCUAGUUGGUAAGGUAACGGCUUACCAAGGCAACGAUGCAUAGCCGACCUGAGAGGGUGAUCGGCCACCCGGGAACUGAGACCCGGCCCAGCCCCCUAGGGGGGGCAGCAGUAGGGAAUUUUCCGAAAUGGGGGAAAGCCUGACGGAGCAACGCCGCGGGAGUGAUGAAGGUUUUCGGAUUGUAAAACUUUGUUAUUAGGGAAAAACAUAUGUGUAAGUAACUGUGCACAUUUUGACGGUACCUAAUCAGAAAGCCACGGCUAACUACGU